rnacentral:rRNA from 1 species
ACUCCUACGGGAGGCAGCAGUGGGGAAUAUUGCACAAUGGGCGCAAGCCUGAUGCAGCCAUGCCGCGUGUAUGAAGAAGGCCUUCGGGUUGUAAAGUACUUUCAGUCAGUGAGGAGGUGGUAUGUUAAUAGCAUACUUCAUUGACUGUUAGCUGCAGAAGAAGCACCGGCUAACUCCGUGCCAGCAGCCGCGGUAAUACGGAGGGUGCGAGCGUUAAUCGGAAUUACUGGGCGUAAAGCGCAUGCAGGUGGUUUGUUAAGUCAGAUGUGAAAGCCCGGGGCUCAACCUCGGAAUUGCAUUUGAAACUGGCAAACUAGAGUACUGUAGAGGGGGGUAGAAUUUGCAGGUGUAGCGGUGAAAUGCGUAGAGAUCUGAAGGAAUACCGGUGGCGAAGGCGGCCCCCUGGCACAGAUACUGACACUCAGAUGCGAAAGCGUGGGGAGCAAACAGGAUUAGAUACCCUGGUAGCUACGAGU